rnacentral:lncRNA from 1 species
AACGAUCAGGAGCAGAGCUCCAUGGGGAGUUUCAGUGCAGGGUGGAUGCCUUUGCUCUUCCUCACUGCUGUCCUCUUUCCACCAUCAGGCAGACUGUGGCUGAUCCUGGUUUCUGUCGGGGGGGUGCUGGGGUCUCUGGCUGCUGUGGCUCUGAUUGGUGUCGUCAUGUACAAAGUGAAGACAUGGGCAUUUAAAGCCGCUGCAGCUGGGAAGGGGUCCCAACCUGAGGAUGAAGAUGGCACAUACGCAGCCCUAGACCCCAAGACCACAAGCCCUGCAGAGUAUGAUGCUCUCACUAGGGUGAAGAAACCACGCAAGGGAGAAUAAAGCCAGUGGAUUCUCCAGCACAUGCUCAGCUUUCUGCACUAUCCUGAUGUGGACGACCCCUCAAGUCUGUGGCUGAAAUCAUGCAUUACAAUGUCUAUGGGUUAUGAGACACAGCCUGUUGAGAGAAUGGGAAUUCUGUGUGUGAUGUUAGGAGAUAUUGCAGGCAUAUCACUAAGAUAUUAUUACAUUGGUUCAGACAUGUGUAAUACUCUGUGGUGUAUAUUCAACAGAGUAUCACUUAGGGUCACUGUAGGGCCAAAAUGUAAUAAAAGUUUAAGCUUUUAGAUAAACCUACUUCA